AAUAUUGGGACAUAUAAAAAAAGACAACUCUGUUCCGCAGAGUAGUUGUUGACAUUAUAGUUUUGCAGGCACUUUGUUGACUCUAGAGAACCUCGGGCCAAUCACACAUCCCCGCGACAGCGACUUUGCAUUCGGAUGUCAUCCAUAUCAACUUUCGAGGCCAGUUUCUGCGCCUACCAUGGUGACCACGGGUAACGUGGAAUCAGGGUUGGAUUACGGAGAGGGAAUCUGAGAAACGGCUACCACAUGCAAGGAAGGCAGCAGGCGCGCAGUGACCCACUCCUGAUGCAGGAAGGUAGUGA
rnacentral:rRNA from 1 species